AGUGACAGGUGGUGCAUGGUUGUCGUCAGCUCGUGUCGUGAGAUGUUGGGUUAAGUCCCGCAACGAGCGCAACCCUUGAUCUUAGUUGCCAGCAUUCAGUUGGGCACUCUAAGGUGACUGCCGGUGACAAACCGGAGGAAGGUGGGGAUGACGUCAAAUCAUCAUGCCCCUUAUGACCUGGGCUACACACGUGCUACAAUGGACAGAACAAAGGGCUGCGAAACCGCAAGGUUUAGCCAAUCCCAUAAAUCUGUUCUCAGUUCGGAUCGCAGUCUGCAACUCGACUGCGUGAAGCUGGAAUCGCUAGUAAUCGCGGAUCAGCAUGCCGCGGUGAAUACGUUCCCGGGCCUUGUACACACCGCCCGUCACACCACGAGAGUUUGCAACACCCGAAGUCGGUGAGGUAACCUUUAUGGAGC
rnacentral:rRNA from 1 species